GGUCGCGUGGUGUAGUGGUUAGCACUUAAGAUUUUGAUUCUUAAGACCUGAGUUCGAAUCUCGGCGUGACCU
rnacentral:tRNA from 1 species